rnacentral:rRNA from 1 species
AACGAACGCUGGCGGCAGGCUUAACACAUGCAAGUCGAACGCUCGUAGCAAUACGGGAGUGGCGGACGGGUGAGUAACGCGUGGGAACGUGCCCUGAGGUACGGAAUAACUGAGGGAAACUUCAGCUAAUACCGUAUGAGCCCCGAGAGGGGGAAAGAUUUAUCGCCUUGGGAGCGGCCCGCGUCGGAUUAGCUAGUUGGUGGGGUAACGGCCUACCAAGGCUUCGAUCCGUAGCUGGUCUGAGAGGACGAUCAGCCACACUGGGACUGAGACACGGCCCAGACUCCUACGGGAGGCAGCAGUGGGGAAUCUUGCGCAAUGGGGGGCAACCCUGACGCAGCCAUGCCGCGUGAACGAUGAAGGCCUUAGGGUUGUAAAGUUCUUUACCCGUGACGAUGAUGACGGUAACGGGGGAAUAAGCUCCGGCUAACUUCGUGCCAGCAGCCGCGGU